rnacentral:rRNA from 1 species
UACGUAGGGUGCGAGCGUUAAUCGGAAUUACUGGGCGUAAAGGGCACGCAGGCGGUUUUUUAAGUCAGAUGUGAAAGGUACCGGCUCAACCGGUGACAUGCAUUUGAAACUGAAAGACUUGAGUAUUGGAGAGGCAAGUGGAAUUCCUAGUGUAGCGGUGAAAUGCGUAGAUAUUAGGAGGAACACCGGUGGCGAAGGCGGCUUGCUGGACAAAUACUGACGCUGAGGUGCGAAAGCGUGGGGAGCAAACAGG